CAUGAUGUGUGCUGCUGAUCCACGACACGGCCGGUACCUUACCGCUUCAGCCAUGUUCCGUGGCAAGAUGAGCACUAAAGAAGUAGACGAGCAGAUGAUAAAUGUACAAAACAAGAAUUCAUCUUACUUUGUCGAGUGGAUACCCAACAACGUGAAGUCUAGCGUGUGUGACAUCCCACCCAAGGGUCUGAAAAUGGCAUCGACUUUCAUCGGUAACUCGACUUCAAUUCAG
rnacentral:misc_RNA from 1 species